rnacentral:rRNA from 1 species
AUUGAACGCUGGCGGCAUGCCUUACACAUGCAAGUCGAACGGCAGCACGGGUGCUUGCACCUGGUGGCGAGUGGCGAACGGGUGAGUAAUACAUCGGAACAUGUCCUGUAGUGGGGGAUAGCCCGGCGAAAGCCGGAUUAAUACCGCAUACGAUCUACGGAUGAAAGCGGGGGACCUUCGGGCCUCGCGCUAUAGGGUUGGCCGAUAGCUGAUUAGCUAGUUGGUGGGGUAAAGGCCUACCAAGGCGACGAUCAGUAGCUGGUCUGAGAGGACGACCAGCCACACUGGGACUGAGACACGGCCCAGACUCCUACGGGAGGCAGCAGUGGGGAAUUUUGGACAAUGGGCGAAAGCCUGAUUCAGCAAUGCCGCGUGUGUGAAGAAGGCCUUCGGGUUGUAAAGCACUUUUGUCCGGAAAGAAAUCCUUGGCUCUAAUACAGUCGGGGGAUGACGGUACCGGAAGAAUAAGCACCGGCUAACUACGUG